GUGAGGAAUAUUGGUCAAUGGACGGAAGUCUGAACCAGCCAUGCCGCGUGAAGGAUGAAGGCGUUCUGCGUUGUAAACUUCUUUUAUUUAGGAAGAAACCACCGAUUUCUAUUGGUGUUGACGGUAUUAAAUGAAUAAGCACCGGCUAACUCCGUGCCAGCAGCCGCGGUAAUACGGAGGGUGCGAGCGUUAUCCGGAUUUACUGGGUUUAAAGGGUGCGCAGGCGGUCUUAUAAGUCCGGGGUGAAAUACUACAGCUCAACUGUAGAACUGCCUUGGAUACUAUAGGACUUGAAUCGAGUAUAGGUCAGCGGAAUACAACAUGUAGCGGUGAAAUGCAUAGAUAUGUUGUGGAACACCGAUUGCGAAGGCAGCUGACUGGGCUUGAAUUGACGCUCAGGCACGAAAGCGUGGGUAGCGAACAGGAUUAGGAACCCCUGUAGUCC
rnacentral:rRNA from 1 species